CCUACGGGUGGCAGCAGUGAGGAAUAUUGGUCAAUGGGCGAGAGCCUGAACCAGCCAAGUCGCGUGAAGGAUGAAGGAUCUAUGGUUUGUAAACUUCUUUUAUAUGGGAAUAAAGUGAGGAACGUGUUCCUUUUUGUAUGUACCAUAUGAAUAAGCAUCGGCUAACUCCGUGCCAGCAGCCGCGGUAAUACGGAGGAUGCGAGCGUUAUCCGGAUUUAUUGGGUUUAAAGGGUGCGUAGGUGGUUAGUUAAGUCAGCGGUGAAAGUUUGUGGCUCAAACGUAAAAUUGCCGUUGAUACUGGUAGACUGGAGUAUAUUGGAGGUAGGCGGAAUGCGUGGUGUAGCGGUGAAAUGCUUAGAUAUCACGCAGAACUCCGAUGGCGAAGGCAGCUUACUAAACUAUAACUGAAAAUGAUGCGCGAAAGUGUGGGGAUCAAACAGGAGUAGAUACCCGGGUAGUC
rnacentral:rRNA from 1 species